rnacentral:tRNA from 1 species
GCGUUCGUAGCUCAGUCGGUAGAGCACCUGCCUUUUAAGCAGAGGGUCGUAGGUUCGAUUCCUACCGGACGCA